UACAGAGGGUGCGAGCGUUAAUCGGAAUUACUGGGCGUAAAGCGCACGUAGGCGGCUUGGUAUGUCGGGUGUGAAAUCCCCGGGCUCAACCUGGGAACUGCAUCCGAAACUGCCUUGCUAGAGUAUGGGAGAGGGAAGUGGAAUUUCCGGUGUAGCGGUGAAAUGCGUAGAUAUCGGAAGGAACAUCAGUGGCGAAGGCGACUUCCUGGACCAAUACUAACGCUCAGGUGCGAAAGCGUGGGGAGCAAACAGG
rnacentral:rRNA from 1 species